rnacentral:tRNA from 1 species
CGGCCGAUGUACCCAAGUGAAUUAAGGCAGU